rnacentral:rRNA from 1 species
GUAGGUGGCAAGCGUUGUCCGGAAUUAUUGGGCGUAAAGCGCGCGCAGGGCGGUCCUUUAAGUCUGAUGUGAAAGCCCACGGCUCAACCGUGGAGGGUCAUUGGAAACUGGGGGACUUGAGUACAGAAGAGGAAAGCGGAAUUCCAAGUGUAGCGGUGAAAUGCGUAGAGAUUUGGAGGAACACCAGUGGCGAAGGCGGCUUUCUGGUCUGUAACUGACGCUGAGGCGCGAAAGCGUGGGGAGCAAACAGGAUUAGAUACCCUGGUAGUCCACGCCGUAAACGAUGAGUGCUAAGUGUUAGGGGGUUUCCGCCCCUUAGUGCUGCAGCUAACGCAUUAAGCACUCCGCCUGGGGAGUACGGCCGCAAGGCUG